rnacentral:lncRNA from 1 species
GAGAGAUUUUCAUUAACAGGAUCGGGCAGGACCAUCUGUGUAUUUAGUGGAAAGUUUGCCACCAGCAGCGAGCAAGUGAGUUUACAACUUGGAGACAAUAGCCGAGGGGGGCAGGGUUUCAACUGUCUUCAGGCUGCCGGGGAGGGUGGGAGGCGCAGAGUCCAGAAGGCAGGGCUGGCUGGGCCUCCGGCAGCCCUCAGAGCUGCUCGGCCGGCUCCCCUCCCCUCCGGUUUCCCCCUGCCCAGACUAAUGAUAACCAAGCCAGGGAACUUUCCAGAACAAUUGGUAGUGAGACAUCUCUCCUGCCAGCUGGCAGCGCAUCCUCAGACAAGUCAGUGCACCUCUCUGAGCCCCAGCAUUCUGGAGAAGUAACGGCUGGUGGGCUCGCAGGGCACCCGGGCCGAGGAGGGCAUUUAGCCACGAUGGAAGGUUCCAGAGGAUGAGGCGCUCCGCCUUCACACUGCUUCUGAGUCAUCUCCCCUGUGGCAGAACACCCCUGCCGGCAAGCUUCAAGUGUAGAAUUACGCAAUUUGUAAUUAAAGCAACGCAAGUCGAUGGGCAGGGACGUUGCCAAGUGAACCACACAGCCGCUGGGGCUCUCCGGCUGCUCGGGUGGCAGCCCGAGGGGGGCUGGCGGGCCCCGGUGAGGUGGGGUAGGGGCCCGUGGGAAGCCAGUGGAAGCAGAGAACCUCGUGCAUCCAGCAGACGUGUUCACCAUGCUGCCAAGGAGAAUCACCGCGUGUAGCUGAGACGGGCAACUCUGCGGGACCCGGCCCGGCGUCAGACUCUGUCCCCCGGUGGUGGGAAUUCACAGCCGAGCAGCGGGGCGUGGGGCCGUGUGGGUCACUCUUCUGCUCAAGGAUAGAAAGCAGAGGCACCACGGCCCGCGCCUUCGGGAAUCCUACAGCUAAUGUGGGGGAAAGAACAACCCGGAGCAAACUCGGAGAGCCUUUGCAGGGCCACACACAGGCAGGGGUGCCCCGCUCGGAUGAAACAGCAG